rnacentral:rRNA from 1 species
CGCUGGCGGCGUGCUUAACACAUGCAAGUCGAACGGUGAUCCAGGGCUUGCUCUGGUGAUCAGUGGCGAACGGGUGAGUAACACGUGGGCAACCUGCCCCUGACUUUGGGAUAACUCCUCGAAAGAGGGGCUAAUACCAGAUACGACCACUUCGGGCAUCCGAUGGUGGUGGAAAGUUUUUCGGUCAGGGAUGGGCCCGCGGCCUAUCAGCUAGAUGGUGGGGUAGUGGCCUACCAUGGCGACGACGGGUAGCUGGUCUGAGAGGAUGAUCAGCCACACUGGGACUGAGACACGGCCCAGACUCCUACGGGAGGCAGCAGUGGGGAAUAUUGGGCAAUGGAGGAAACUCUGACCCAGCGACGCCGCGUGCGGGAUGAAGGCCUUCGGGUUGUAAACCGCUUUCAGCAGGGAAGAAGCGAAAGUGACGGUACCUGCAGAAGAAGCACCGGCUAACUAUGUG